rnacentral:lncRNA from 1 species
GGUGAUAAUAAAAAGCAGACUAACUUUCAAUCACUUUUAUUAUUCUCUGUAAUUCUCUGCAGACAGUGCACCCUGUCAAGGCCUGUGCAGCCCCACCGGGUACCCACUGCAGAGCAUCAAGGGACUCCUGCAGUUACCACUUCAGUUGUGCCACAAGGCCAGAGGACUCACCCGGUUUCCACUCUCACCAUUGUAUUCCCAGCACCUAGUGGAGCUUGGCACUAUGUAGGCUCUCAAUAUCUGUUCAGUCUCUGGGUACGGUGGUAUACACGUGUAAUCCCAGCGGUUCGGAAGGCUAAGGCAGGAGGAUCACAAGUUCAAAGCCAGCCUCAGCAACUUAGUGAGGUCCUGAGCAACUUGGCAUAGACUGGUAUAGACUCUGUCUCAACGUGAAAUAUAAAAAGGGCUGGGGGGCUGGGAUUGUGGCUCAGCGGUAGAGCACUUGCCUAGCACGUUCGAGGCCCUGGGUUCGAUCCUCAGCACCACAUAAAAAUAAAUGAAUAAAAUAAUGGUACAGUGUCAACUACAACUAAAAAAUAUUUUUAAAAAAAUAAAUAAAUGAAAAUUAAAAGGGCUGGGGGUGUGCUUCGGUGGUUAAGCAUCCCUGGGUUCAAUCCCUGGUAGAAAAAAAUAUAUCUGUUCAGGGAAGGAAAGAAGACACCAACUCAGGUGAGCUAGACUCCCCCCCACCUCCAACUAUGUCUAACUCCAGAAGGACCCAUCUUCAAACAAGUGAACCAGUGUUUUCCUCAGAGACAUUCAGAAUGAAAAGACAAGGUCGGUUGGUCCGUCUCUCUUUUCUCUCUCUCCCUCUCUCUCUUUCUCUUAAAUUCAUCUAAAUUUCUUCAUUUAAACAAAUUCAGAGGCUAUGAUAAUAAGUGUGUUAUAAGACCCUUUCUUUUUAUUAAAUGAUAGUAUAGAACUAUUUAUAUAAAUAAAUAGCUAUAUUUAUUUAUAUGCAGCACUGGGGAUUGAAUCCAGGUCUCAUGCACCAUUAGGGAAGCACUCUUUCUGUGAGUUACACCCUUAGCCCUCAUAGGUAGCUACUGAGCACUUGAAAUGUGGCUAGUAUGAAUUGAAAUGAUGCUGUAGUGCAGAAUACACAUUGGCUUUCACAUAUUAUUAUUAAAAAAAAAGUAACAUAACCAGGAGCCGUGGCGCACGCCUGUAAUCCCAGCAGCUCCAGAGGCUGAGGCAGGGGAAUCACGAGUUCAAAGUCACCCUCAGCAACGGUGAGGGGCAAAGCAACUCAGUGAGACCCUGUCUCUAGAUAAAAUACAAAAUAGGCUGGGGAUGGGGCUCAAUGGUUAAGUGCCCCUGAGUUCAAUUCCCGGUACAAAAAUAAAUAAAUAAAUAAAAAAUAAGUUCUGUUUAUAUAUUUCUAUUGAUUACACGUUGAGAAUAUAUUUUGGAUAUAUAUCACGUUUACUGAACUUACAUGUAAUUAAUAGUAGUCAUUAGCAAGUAAUGAUUAAUAAAG